GGGACACAGAGCUGUAACAGGGCUGGAGUGAGAACCCAACUCGUACCUGUCCUCGUUAGUAUAGUGCCGGUUCCGCAGCUCCCGUUGGCAGUAACACACGUUGACCGGCUGGGACCGAGCUCUGAGCGGGCUGCGGGAGCGCAACGUACACCGUCCUCGUUAGUAUAGUGGUGAGUAUCCCCGCCUGUCACGCGGGAGACCGGGGUUCGAUUCCCCGACGGGGAG